GGACCCCACUGCUAUCGGGAUAGGACUAAGACAUGCUAGUCGUGCGUCUCCUAGCUAUGUUGGAGGCGCGGCACACAGCUCAGUAACACGUGGCUAACCUGCCCUUGGGACGGAAACACCCCCGGGAAACUGGGGUUAAUUUUCGAUAGGUGAAGACUCCUGGAAUGGUUUUUUGCUGAAAAGGCGUUUGGAGCAUGCUUCUAAGCGUUGCCCAAGGAUGGGGCCGCGGCCGAUCAGGUUGUUGGUGAGGUAAUGGCUCACCAAGCCUUUUACCGGUACGGGCCGUGGGAGCGGGAGCCCGGAGAUGGGCACUGAGACAAGGGCCCAGGCCCUACGGGGCGCAGCAGUCGCGAAAACUCCGCAAUAAGCGAAAGCUUGACGGGGUUAUCCCGAGUGCCGUCUGCUGAAGAUGGCUUUUACCCAGUGUAGAUAGCUGGGAGAAUAAGGAGAGGGCAAGUCUGGUGUCAGCCGCCGCGGUAAUACCAGCUCUCCGAGUUGUGGGGAUAAUUAUUUGGCCUAAAGCAUCCGUAGCCGGCUGAGCAAGUCCUCCGUUAAAUCCAGCGACUAAUCGUUGGCCUGCGGGGGAUACUGUUUGGCUAGGGGGCGGGAGAGGCCGCCGGUAUUCUCGGGGUAGGGGUGAAAUCCUAUAAUCCCGGGAGGACCACCAGUGGCGAAGGCUGUCGGCUAGCACGCGCCUGACGGUGAGGGACGAAAGCUGGGGGAGCGAACCGGAUUAGAUACCCGGGUAGUCCCUGCUGUAAACGAUGCGAGCUANGUGUUG
rnacentral:rRNA from 1 species